UGGGGAAUUUUGCGCAAUGGGCUAACGCCUGACGCAGCAACGCCGCGUGGAGGAUGAAGGUCUUUGGAUUGUAAACUCCUGUCAGCGGGGAAAAAGGGACCCGGCCGAAUACGCCGGGAACUUGAUUGUACCCGCAGAGGAAGCCCCGGCUAACUCUGUGCCAGCAGCCGCGGUAAUACAGAGGGGGCAAGCGUUAUUCGGAAUUAUUGGGCGUAAAGGGCGCGUAGGCGGCUUUGCAAGUGACGGGUGAAAUCCCUCGGCUUAACCGAGGAACUGCCUGUCAAACUGCAUGGCUUGAGACCAGGAGAGGUGAGUGGAAUUCCCAGUGUAGCGGUGAAAUGCGUAGAUAUUGGGAGGAACACCAGUGGCGAAGGCGGCUCACUGGACUGGUACUGACGCUGAGGCGCGAAAGCGUGGGGAGCAAACAGG
rnacentral:rRNA from 1 species